UCCCACUCCACUCUUUCCUUCUCCAGUUUUCAGUUCCGCCGCAAGAGGGAGAGAAAGAGACCCAUUCGCUCUACUCUUCCUUUUUCCAGUUUUCAAUUCCCCCGUGAGAGAGGGUGGGAGGGAGGGAGAGAUAUGAGGAAGUGCAAAGAGAUCGGAGAUGUCGCAGUGAUGGAGGUGAGGACGCGGGCGCGGAGGACGGCCCUUGCAGCUGCGGCUGCUGCUGCUGCUGCGGCGGCGGCGGCGGGGAGGGGCAGAAGCUCGAAGAGGAGGAAGGCCGUGGUGGGGUCGGGAGAGAUCCAGAUCUCGUACCUCCAGCUCCGGAGCCGGAGACUCGUCAUGAAACCUCGGAUCACGACAUCCACGGCGAAUUCCGGCAGCCGGCGGUGCCCGAGCUCCGAGGUCGGCCUGAUCUCCCGGCACUCUAGCAACGUCUCCUGCGAGGCCGCCCCAGAGGAGCCCCCUUCGCCGUCCGGUGACCCGGAGGACUGCGAGGUUCUGGACACCGCGGCGCGUUACUCCGGGUGCAGCAGUGACGGGUUUCCUCGCUUUUUCUCUCUCUCUCUCCCCCCCUCUCUCUUCCUCUCUCUGUGAAGGAGACGACGCUGUCGAGUAGCCGAGUAGAGGAAUGGAGCGAUCUGGAACCGACGGUGGAGAGGACAUCGAGGAGGCGAUGGAGAGCGGAGAUGAUGCCGUCGGAGGCAGAGAUCGAGGAGUUCUUCGCGGUGGCGGAGAGAGACGAGCGGCAGCGAUUCGCCGCCAAGUACAACUACGAUAUCGUCGACGACGCCCCGGUGGAGGGCCGGUACGAGUGGAUCCGUAUCCCAUGAAGUGAAAAAACAAAAAAAAAAAUCCGGAAGGAAAAAAAAGAAAAUGGAAAAAGGGCUUUGCAAAAUUUCUUUUCCUUUUUUUCCCCUCUAAUUUUCAAAAAUUAAUGUACAGUUCUCGUAUCCACCGCCUUCUCUUCUGUAAGAAACAACCCCUUUCUCUGUACGAUUUUAUUCGGAGAAGCUUCUGAACUGAAAGCCAGAGCCCUCUCUCUCUCUCCUUUCUUGUUUUCUUCAGUCGAAAUGCUUCGCUCUAAAUUUUCGUCCAUUCCUCCCUCUGUGUCACGGUAACUUUUUUUUUUCUUUAAUUUUCCCUUUGAAUUGGGUUUUUGGUCUGCCGUCGUCGGAUCGGACGGCGGUUAUGAUUUUUCCUCUUACUUAUUGUUAUUGUUGUUAUUAUGUUUUUGGAUUUAUCCGUUGCUGCGGAGGGAACGAAGUUGACGUGGCUGAUAACGGCAUGGCUCGAGGUGGGCGGGAGCAGGAGGAGAGGGCGGUGACGCGACACCAGUCCGGUGCCGGGAGCCGAAUAAAAUAAGGGGAAAGUGGCAUGGAAGGCGACUGUGCACAUGGUGAGAUGCCGUGGUCCUCCUCCUCGAACCCUCGUCAUAAAAUAAUUAAUAAAAAAUAAUAAAAUAAAUAUAGUAAUAAAAAAUAAAUUAUAAAGUACUUUUAUAUAUAACAUGCAAAGCAUAUGCCUCGUAGAUUAAAAAUAGCGAUUUUAAUCAGAUUGAUUCUAAUUAUUUAACACUCACUAUAUAACAAUUGAAUAUAUGUCAUUGUCUGUUAUAUUUACUUGCUGUAGGUGUCUAAGCAGCAUAAAAGCUGCAAUUUUUACCCAUUAGUUGUACGGGCGUUAGUACAUCAUAUAUUAUAUUCAGUAUUUUUUUUUCGUC